CAGCCAACGGCUGCAAGGGGUUGGACUUUCCUCCCUUCAAAUAUGGCCUUGAAGGUCCUUAUACCUAUUGAGAAGAAUCUGGAAGUGAUCAGAAGAAUGGGGAAAAUUUUGUAUUUGGGGUUCCUUAUCCUCCCGGGGUAACAUGGAGAACAAAUGCUUCAACAGGCAAGAUAAUCCCUCUGCUACAGGAGGAAAUGGGAAGAAGCAAGAAGAAUUCCCACGGAAAGCCUUCAUGUGCUUGCAAAACCAGCAGCCCUUGGAUUCAAAAGGGCAGCAUUUUUUGCCUUCUUAACAUAAAGGAGGAAUCUCCAGAGGACUUGGGGCUUGGAAGAAUAAGGGUUUGCAAAUGGCAAAGGAAGAAUUUUCCUUCCUCCCUAAGGAUUGCUUACUCAAAAAAAAAAAAAAAAAAAGGUGGGGGGGCAGUGGUAGUAGGUGGGGUCCUUAAAAAGCCACAGAGUGAGAUCCUAUGCAGUGGAUAAACAGCAUCAAAAGACACCAAAAAACUUGGCCCUGGAGCAUAGCAUAAACGAAAUGCAUAUGGUCACUACUGUGUCUGUGUUCUGUCAAAGUGGAAGAAGAAAGACUAGAGGGAAUGUAAAGAAGUACCCAAUGUCUUAAGGCCCAGGACCAGCAAUGGUACUCAGCACUUCAAAUUCCCUUCUAAUGGUAAAAUCUAGCCACCUGGCCAUACCCAACUAAUUGCAAAAAAGAAAUGGGUAAUGUCAAAUGACUGGAGAGACAUGUUCAAGGAAAAAGAAAAUAAAUUUUAGUGAGCAAUUAGCAAUCUGUGCCUGCCAUUUGGCCACCAAAUAGCCAUCUGCACCCUUCUCUCACACAUUGACUCCCUCAUCCCUCACCAAGGGAUAAAACCCCAACCCCCAUCCAAUUUCUGCACCCACUUCAAAGUACAGUAUCUCCAGGUGAUGUUCUGACCUCCACGUUAGGUCCACUAGGGCUGCAUGAGGAAGGCUAGAAAACAAAAUUAUUAUCCACCAACACAUCUAGAUUACAAUCUAGAGUGUGAUCAGAGUAACUAUAAUAAGCAGUCUUAGGAAAAGAAAGGAAGAAGGGAAUACACUUAAUAGUCACUGAAAAGUUGUUUCUUUUCUUUUCACAUUGCAUAGCAAUGAGAUUAUUAUUCCACCAGAGAGGAAGUGAGAUGGUCCCCUGUCCUGACCAUGGUGUACUUCCCCAUGUUCUUUAUGAUUUCAAAUUUUGCCCUUUGGAAAUUCUUCCUAGUCUGUUAUGCUUUAAGGCCACCUCUGAAGUGGGUCUUGAAAAGACCAUGUAAUUUUAGUAUCCAUUUCCUACAGGUAUAGGUCUGAGAGUCUGAGGACAUUUUCAGGCCAUGCUUCUGGUUGCUUUUGAAAUAUCAAUACCUUAGAAACUUGAUAGGCUUCUGGGUCUGUUUGGUUCCAUGUGCCAGCAAUGUCACCCAGAUUUCAUUUCAGAGCAUGGUGUUAAAGCCAACUUUACUUCCUGGUUACCAUGACCCAUUUCCCUCUCUCAUUUAAAUGCUGUCUCUUUUGAGGCCAUCAGAAUAUAUGGGCAAGAAGAAGCAACACCUUUAAUAUAAUCUCCCAUGACUAGUUUUCCUAAUUUGGAGGCAUUGGGAAGGGCUGUGAGCCAUAACAAUCUUACCUCCUGGUGUUAAGGACAUAGCACCAUAUUUCUAGACAUUCUCUGUAGCUUUUUCCUUUAUACCUGCUAGUUCUCUCUCUCUCUCUCUCUCUCUCUCUCUCUCUCUCUCUCUCUCUCUCUCUCUUUUUUUUUUUUGAGACAGAGUCUCACUCUGUCACCCUAGGUGGAGUGCAGUGGCGUGAUCUCAGCUCACUGCAGCCUCCGCCUCUUGGGUUCAAGCAAUUCUUCUGCCUCAGCCUCCUGAGUAGCUGGGAUUACAAGCACACACCAUCACACCUGGAUAAUUUUUGUAUUUUUAGUAGAGACAAGGUUUCACCAUGUUGGCCAGGCUGGUCUCAAACUCCUGGCAUCAGAUGACCAGCCCACAUUGGCCUCCCAAAGUACUGGGAUUACAGGCAUGAGCCACCAUGCCUAUUCUACUAGUUCUCAUUUGAAAACACAAUUUUUCUUUUACUGACCUCUGCUAAAAGCAUCAAGGAAUGGCCAACACACAUCAACAUUCUGGUUGCUCUCUGGGUAAAUGAUCAAUCUUUCAAGUUACUGCCAGAGAGAGUUUUACAAAAUAUUUUGUGAUGACAGUACAAGAGUCCCCAUUUUUGCAGCCUGUGUGUGAAAUCUGUUUCCUCAGUUCUGCUCUAACGACGUAUUUAUCUAGGUUCAAGUUUCUAUAUUUUUAAGGUCAUGCUAAGCUGUUGU
rnacentral:lncRNA from 10 species